rnacentral:tRNA from 1 species
GGAGAUCGCUGGAAUCGGCGAAAGCCGAAAAGGUCCGAGGGCUACGACCUUUUGCGUGGUUUUCGUGGCUUUUGCUUUGCGCGCAAGCGGCCCGCGGAAUUACUUCGCAUGGCCGGGGGUUCGAGUCCCCCCAUCUCCACCA